UGAGGUGUCGCCAAGUGGCUAAGGCAGCGGACUUUGAAUCCGUUAUUCGCAGGUUCGAGUCCUGCCACCUCAG
rnacentral:tRNA from 1 species